rnacentral:rRNA from 1 species
GAUGAACGCUGGCGGCGUGCCUAAUACAUGCAAGUCGAGCGAACAGACGAGGAGCUUGCUCCUCUGACGUUAGCGGCGGACGGGUGAGUAACACGUGGAUAACCUACCUAUAAGACUGGGAUAACUUCGGGAAACCGGAGCUAAUACCGGAUAAUAUAUUGAACCGCAUGGUUCAAUAGUGAAAGACGGUUUUGCUGUCACUUAUAGAUGGAUCCGCGCCGCAUUAGCUAGUUGGUAAGGUAACGGCUUACCAAGGCAACGAUGCGUAGCCGACCUGAGAGGGUGAUCGGCCAGACGGGAACUGAGACACGGUCCAGACUCCUACGGGAAGCAGCAGUAGGGAAUCUUCCGCAAUGGGCGAAAGCCUGACGGAGCAACGCCGCGUGAGUGAUGAAGGUCUUCGGAUCGUAAAGCUCUGUUAUUAGGGAAGAACAAAUGUGUAAGUAACUAUGCACGUCUUGACGGUACCUAAUCAGAAAGCCACGGCUAACUACGUG